CUCAUACAAAAAGCGCCAGGACUGACAUGAGGUCAGUUGACGAGGAGAGGGCUAAUCGAUAAUCGGCGGGUUCCCUCCGGCUGCGUGUGACAGCCGUAAGCUUUUGUAAAAAACAGUAAGGUGACUUAGUGUACAAAAACAAAAGCCGCACACAC
rnacentral:ncRNA from 2 species